AGUGAACGCUGGCGGUAGGCCUAACACAUGCAAGUCGAACGGCAGCACAGGAGAGCUUGCUCUCUGGGUGGCGAGUGGCGGACGGGCGAGGAAUACAUCGGAAUCUACUCUGUCGUGGGGGAUAACGUAGGGAAACUUACGCUGAUACCGCAUACGACCUACGGGUGAAAGCAGGGGAUCUUCGGACCUUGCGCGAUUGAAUGAGCCGAUGUCGGAUUAGCUAGUUGGCGGGGUAAAGGCCGACCAAGGCGACGAUCCGUAGCUGGUCUGAGAGGAUGAUCAGCCACACUGGAACUGAGACACGGUCCAGACUCCUACGGGAGGCAGCAGUGGGGAAUAUUGGACAAUGGGCGCAAGCCUGAUCCAGCCAUACCGCGUGGGUGAAGAAGGCCUUCGGGUUGUAAAGCCCUUUUGUUGGGAAAGAAAUCCAUCUGGUUAAUACCCGGGUGGGAUGACGGUACCCAAAGAAUAAGCACCGGCUAACUUCGUGCCAGCAGCCGCCGUAA
rnacentral:rRNA from 1 species